ensembl:snRNA U1 U1 spliceosomal RNA
GUAUUUACCUGGCAGGAGAGAUACUGUAAUCAUGAAAGGUUUUCCGAGGGAAGGCUCAUCCACUUCACUCCAGAUGUGUGGACCCUGCGAUUUUCCCAAAUGUGGGAAACUUGAUUUCAUAAUUUGUGGUAGUAGCAGACUGCAUUUGUACUUUCCCCUG